rnacentral:rRNA from 1 species
CAGUCGCCGCGGGAAUACAGAGGGUGCGAGCGUUAAUCGGAUUUACUGGGCGUAAAGCGUGCGUAGGCGGCUUUUUAAGUCGGAUGUGAAAUCCCUGAGCUUAACUUAGGAAUUGCAUUCGAUACUGGGAAGCUAGAGUAUGGGAGAGGAUGGUAGAAUUCCAGGUGUAGCGGUGAAAUGCGUAGAGAUCUGGAGGAAUACCGAUGGCGAAGGCAGCCAUCUGGCCUAAUACUGACGCUGAGGUACGAAAGCAUGGGGAGCAAACAGGAUUAGAGACCCCGGUAGUCCCUGUCUCUUAUAU